GGCAGCUUAGCUUAAUUGGUAUAGUAGGUGAUUGGUAAUCAAUGGGAUGUGAGUUUGAAUCUCAUGGCUGGUU
rnacentral:tRNA from 1 species